rnacentral:rRNA from 1 species
GACAGAGGGGGCAAGCGUUGCUCGGAAUUACUGGGCGUAAAGCGCACGUAGGCGGGUCGUUAAGUCAGGGGUGAAAUCCCGGAGCUCAACUCCGGAACUGCCUUUGAUACUGGCGACCUUGAGGCUGGAAGAGGUUAGUGGAAUUCCCAGUGUAGAGGUGAAAUUCGUAGAUAUUGGGAAGAACACCAGUGGCGAAGGCGGCUAACUGGUCCAGAUCUGACGCUGAGGUGCGAAAGCGUGGGGAGCAAACAGG